GACGAACGCUGGCAGCGUGCUUAACACAUGCAAGUCGAACGGAAAGGCCUCUUUCGGGGGGUACUCGAGUGGCGAACGGGUGAGUAACACGUGAGUAACCUGCCCUUGACUUUGGGAUAACUUCAGGAAACUGGGGCUAAUACCGGAUAGGAGCUCCUGCUGCAUGGUGGGGGUUGGAAAGUUUCGGCGGUUGGGGAUGGACUCGCGGCUUAUCAGCUUGUUGGUGGGGUAGUGGCUUACCAAGGCUUUGACGGGUAGCCGGCCUGAGAGGGUGACCGGCCACAUUGGGACUGAGAUACGGCCCAGACUCCUACGGGAGGCAGCAGUGGGGAAUAUUGCACAAGGGGUGGAGGCCUGAUGCAGCAACGCCGUGUGCGGGAUGACGGCCUUGGGGUUGUAAACCGCUUUCGCUCAUGACGAAGCUUUGUGUGACGGUAGUGGGUAAAGAAGCACCGGCUAACUACGUG
rnacentral:rRNA from 1 species